rnacentral:misc_RNA from 1 species
GUAGGUGAACCUGCGGAAGGAUCAUUAAUAAUGCCCUUUGACUUCGGUCUAUUGGGUUCAAUGUGUGCCUUCUCUUCGGAGUUGGCCAUCCACACACACCGUGAACUGUGGCUUCGGCCAUCACAAACUAUUAGUAAUGAAUGUAAUAUCAUAACAAAAUAAAACUUUUAACAACGGAUCUCUUGGCUCUC